rnacentral:rRNA from 1 species
ACGCUCGACACCUACGGGAGCAGCAGUCGGGAAUAUUGCGCAAUGGAGGAAACUCUGACGCAGUGACGCCGCGUAUAGGAAGAAGGUUUUCGGAUUGUAAACUAUUGUCGUUAGGGAAGAAAAAGGACAGUACCUAAGGAGGAAGCUCCGGCUAACUACGUGCCAGCAGCCGCGGUAAUCUGAGCGGGCUGGCAAGGC